rnacentral:rRNA from 1 species
UACGUAGGGGGCUAGCGUUGUCCGGAAUCAUUGGGCGUAAAGCGCGUGUAGGCGGCCCGGUAAGUCCGCUGUGAAAGUCGGGGGCUCAACCCUCGAAUGCCGGUGGAUACUGUCGGGCUCGAGUACGGGAGAGGCGAGUGGAAUUCCUGGUGUAGCGGUGAAAUGCGCAGAUAUCAGGAAGAACACCUAUGGCGAAGGCAGCACUCUGGGACGGUACUGACGCUGAGACGCGAAAGCGUGGGGAGCGAACAGG